UCUAUCAAAGGCUUUUCUUUAAGAGGCUUAGCUUCGCGCUCCGUAGGUUUUUCCGUCUUUGGUUUAACUUCCUCCACCUUCUUUUCCUUACGAGUGAUCGGUUUCUCUAAAGGCUUUUCCUCAACAGCCUUCUCAGCCGAUACGGGCAACUCUUUUUCUUCAACCAAAGGCUUU